CACUGAAUGUAUAGUCCAACUUCAUUUGAAUCCCAACUGUGUGAGUUAAAUGAGUUCAUUUCCACUUCCUGACUUGUAGAAAUGGAAUUAUAUGUGAAAGCUCUGUGUAAACUUUGAGGCACUGAGCAAGCUUGAUUAUUUAUUAUGUUGAUCUCUGAUUAAGCAAAGCUGGGAGUGCGUAGUGCCUCAUCCUACUCCCCACCCAUCUUGCCCCGGUUAUUCUUUCCCUCAGAGGACAGUCCAGCCAGGCACAGCAGUGGGGCCUCAGCCACGUGACAUGCAGAUCCCUGUCCUUGUGCCUACGCACCAUUUGCAUUGACUUUACUUAGCUUCAGGCAUGAGAGGAGCAAAUAGAACUUUUCACCCAGGACUGACUUCACUUCACAGCUUCCCUCACCUUUUGAAUGUGUAUAUAUUGAAACCAGGGAAAAUGGAAUGAAAAUGAAAAAAACAUCAUUAGUUUUUCACAGGGGUCAGAAGAAACCAGGUCAUUUAAACUUUCACCAGUGAAGCCCUGUUUCACCUGAACAAAUGACAAAAAGGGAGCAGGUGCCCCCUUUUUUGUGGCUGUUCAUAUCCUACCUAAGGUCAGAACCUGUCACUGACAAAAGGCAAAGCUUAUCCAAGCAUAGUUCAAAGCCACUUUUGUAUAAAGGCUUAAACCACUGGAAUGAAUUUUUUAGAUGCCCCAGGAAUUCAGUCUCGUGGCCUGAUUAAAAGCAGAGAGGUAAUAGGUUUAGUUCUUUGCAUUGCCCACAUUACCCUCAGAAUAUAAAUUAAUCUCUGCAUUGUUAGUACUGAGGCAGUGUAUUACACAUUCUUUUUUAUAUUAUGAAGAGGUUAUCAGAACCUUUCACACUGUUACCAUUUGUAACACUGGCAAAUUCACUUAACCUCUCUGUGCUUCAGUUUCCUUAUCUGUAAAACAAAGAUAAUCACUGUCCACACCUCACAGAGUUGUGAGGAUUAAACAAUAAUGUAAUAAGUAUUCUAAUAAAAUAAUAGUUCCUGGCUGGGUACAGUGGCUCAUGUGUAUAAUCCCAGCACUUUAAGAGGCAAAGGCAGGAGGAUCACUUAAGCCCAGGAGUUUGUGACCAGCCUGGGCAACAUAGUGAGACCCUGUCUCUAUAAAUAAAUAAAUAAAUAAAUAGCCAGUCAUGGUUGCACACGCCUGUGGUCUCAGCUACUUGGAAGUCUGAGGUGAAAGGAUCACUUGAGCCUGAAGUCAUGGCUACAGUGAACCAUGAUAGCACUACUGCACUCCAGCCUGGGGGACAGAGCAAGACCUUAUCUCAAAAAAAAGUCAAUUCCUGGCACAUCAUUAGUGUAGUAAAAGUUGUUGCUGGCCGGGAACGGUGACUCGUGCCUGUAAUCCUAACACUUUGGGAGGCCAAGGCGAGUGAAUAAUGAGGUCAAGAGAUUGAGACCAUCCUGGCCAACAUGGUGAAACCCCAUCUCUACUAAAACACAAAAAAUAGCCAGGUGUGGUGGCACGUGCCUGUAGUCCCAGCUACUCAGGAGGCUGAAGCAGGGAAUCCCUUGUACUGGGAGGUGGAGGUUGCAGUGAGCCGAGACCACACCACUGCACUCCAGCCUGAUGACAGAGAGAGACUCCGUCUCAAAAAAAAGUUGUUGUUGUUGAUGAUAUUAACUAAUGAUUUUUAAAUUAAAUCAAAGAGAACUUACCAUGCACAAAUUCCAUGCUGGGGUUCUGUACACAUGCAGAUGAGUUAGAAAUAUCUAACGGGGCCCAGUUACCAUUUAGAUGGGAAGAAUUUCCAUUAGAUGUUCCUGUCCUUUCUCAUCACACUCUUCUUUCUGGGUAUAAAGAGUUUAUAUCAGCUGCCAGACUCAGCAUCAGACCAGUAAAACUGCAUGGCUUAUCAUGGCAGGCCCUUAGUGUUUCCUCAUCUACAAAAUGAGAAUAACUCCUGUGCUGUCUAACUUCACUGUGUUUUUGUAGAGCCAAUGACAGUGUAUGCGAAAGUUCUUUAUAAACAGGGAAAGCCUAUGCACAUCGAAGGUAGUAUACUGGGUCUUUAAUUACUAGACAGAGUUUCUCAUGAAGCUCUUUUAUUUAAUUUUACCAAAUAGGACUGAAAGUUCACAAUUUACACAUAGGUCAUAUUUUAUAAAAAUCUUUUUCUGAUUGGAACUUUUACCUUUUUGCUAUUUUAGGUAAAAUGACUAGGUAGGUUGAUAAUUUCUAAAAAGUAUCAUUUUAGUCACUGUAAGAUCAGUAGCGGGGCAGAUCUUACAAGGCAAUCUCAAUAUACUGUACCAGAAAAUAUGAAUUUGCAGCUAUGUCUGAGCCUGUGUUCCUAGGAACCAGGAGAUCCAUGAAAUGAUCUACUGGAGAGACCCUGGUGGGAUACCCUCUGAAAGUUUCUUUAUAUAUUCUGCCAGGGACGGCCCAGAUCUCCUGGUGAGUUUCUUGAUGCAAGUGCAGCAGAACACCAGGGCUGCCUGUCACUGAGGCCCCCAGAGCAACAGGUCACGCUGUACCCUCUUCUUCCGCUCCUGCAUCCUGAACUAGGGGAAACAGCUGCCUACACAAAAGCAGUCUUCUAACCAGAAUAGCCCUACUGCCCUGUCCCCUGGGGACAGGAGAGCCUGGAUCAAGCUUUAUCCUGUCCGGAAGCAGGAUUCCAUCUACCAGACCAGCGGCUGCAGCCACAGUAUAGACACAGUAACUACCCGCCCACAUGCUAUUGGCAAUGGUUUUUCAGGCUGGUUAAUCGUCUAUAGAAAAAGCAAAAAGCCAAUUUAUAAAGAUUUAAUCAGAGCCCUCUGGCGGUCACUGUGCAGUCUCACUACUUUUGUUUAAGUUUCCAAGAAGUACUAGAAGAAAAUGGUUUCUGCAAACCUUUUAGAGCUGGGAAGUUUUAGAGAUCUGCUGGCUCACUCAGAGAGUGAAAUGACACUUCACCGUUUGAAUCACAGUCAAUUCAAAGGCACAGGCGGCAGCUUACCAAGUAGCAGCUACUUUCCAUGUGAGGGUUCAUUAAAGGAGAGAGCAUCUGUCUUUGUGUCCCUCUUUUUGCCCAGAGCCUUUGAACUAACAUUUCAUGUUAGUUCUUGUGCCUUGUUUGAGACAAUUAUUUUCCUCAGAACAUAUUGCGGAGGUUUGUCAGAUUUUCCAAAAUUCAGGGUGGAAAUUAUGGUACUUUAUCAUGUUCCCAUGGAUUCAUAGUUCCUUUUUAUUUCACUUUCUUUAAAACAAAUCCUUUGAAGUUGAUAGGUAUGUUCCUUAAAACUCAGCUUGACUAAUACUAUUAAGAAACGUUAUGCUAACAAUGUCAGUCCUACCUUAGAUAAAAUUAUUGCAACAAUGGUGUCCUAGGUCCUGUGAUCUGUAAUAAGGCUGUGUUUCCAACAGAAUAUGAAAAAAAAAAAAUAUUUCAAUACAAACAUCAAAGAAAAGAUCAUCUUUAGUCUCUCUUCAUCUUUGAUAUUUUAAAGUUUCCAAAUGUUGUGGUUGGAAUUGACAAUUUAGACAGUCGUUAUUCUCAAGAUGAGACAAGCUGUACUGGAAAACAUUCAAGCUUAUCUCAGCAUGUUUUUUAAUCUAACAUUUACUGAGUUCUUACUAUGAACAAAGCAUUUUGCUAGGGCAUUAAACCUCUGAAAGACAUGCACAGUUAUGAUGCCCAUUUUAGAGAGAAGAAGACUGAGGCUUAAAGCUAGUCUGACAGAUAUUAUAAAGAUAAGGCAGCAUAAUUAGGCCACAGUCACUCAGCUAGUAGUAACUGGUAGAGUUGUGAUUUGUAGGCAAAUAUUCUAAUUUCCAGAGCCCCCUUUCUUACUCAGUAUUCUGUAUCUUCCAUCUCCAUUUUGUCUCUUUUCCUACCAUAAACUCACCAUCAAAUUGUCUAACUUUCCAUUCACUGGCCACAUGCUACACUGAUCUAAUUUAGAUAAUGAUCUAAAAGCUCCCAUCUAAAUUGUAUUCAUCCAUCAAGGAUGUAUAAGUUAGGACUGAGAUCGUCUGUGGGUAACAGAAAACCCAGUUAACACUGGGGCAGAACAUUGGUUAAGGGCACACUACCUGUUUUCAAAGUUCAGCCGUUCCACAUGCUGAGUUACUUGGGAUAACAAUGGUAGCCACUGGUUCAUAUGAAGAUUAACUCUGAAUUCAUGUAAACUGACUAGAAAGUCCUAGAAACAUUUGCUGUUGUCAUUAUUUAAACUAAUAAGUGGAUUUAAUUUCUCACAUUAAAAAAAAAAAUCAGAUGUAGGCAGUCCAGGUGGUGCAGCCACAUCACAAAGCCAGGAAGGAACCAGGCUCCUUCUGUCUCCCUGCUUGGACAUUUCCUGCAUGUCAGUUUCAUUCUCUGGGUUGUAAAAUCUAAGUGCCUCCUUCAGCAUUCCAGGCAGAACAAAGAGGAGAGAUGAGGGACAAAAAUGACUUAUUUGAAUAGCCUUUGGCUUUUCUUCCAGAAGAAAAGGCCUCCUAAAGUUUUUCUCCUUCAGCUCAUUAGCCACAAUGAUGUCCUAUGGUCAUUUCGCUUCAGUGGAAGGGAGAAGUUUAAUCCUUCAUUUUCCUCUCCAGUGGAGGAAGGCAGGGGAGAAUGGGAUUGGGAAUGUGUGUUGAGUGAACUGACCUCUAGUACCAUCCAAGAGACCCAUCUCAAACCACACCGACUUGUCUUCCCCAAUUAUCAACAUUACCAAUGCCAUUUCUUCGGUGCUAAUUUUUGGUUCAUUCUGCCUUAGAACCAUACUUUUGCAUGAGUGGUCUCUUCUCAACCUUCAGGUUCCAGUUAAUGUCUUCUCCUUAGAAAGAAAUCCUCUAACCACCCAUUGAAUAUACGUCCCUCUCUUACUCUCUUUUUUAGCACCCUGUUUAUUUCCUUUAUAAUGCUUAAUUCAAUUUUCAAGAUGAGAGGGAUAAUACUUGUUGAAUUCCUGAUAAGCAGGGCUUUCUCCCUGCCCAUGGUAUACAACUAUGGCCCUAGUAAGAGGACAGGUUACUGACACCUCAGGAAGGAGGAUAUACUGUGGAGCUCACAUCAAAGAGGAUGUGGAAAACCAUCCCCUUCCUCCUGCAGUAGAUAACUGAAAGAAAAAAGGAAAUUAAAUUAGAGCUAAGGGGUCAGGCAUCAGUGCAGAGCUAAGAAUAUUGGGAUUCAUGGCCCACCUCUAGAGAAUAGUCUGAGAAGAUGGCAGAGCUCUCAAAGAAAUCUCAAGUUCAACAUGGUACUAAUUUAACUAGGUCAGGCACAGUAAUUUCAUAGCUGUACAAGGCAGUAGCUAGAUGUUGAACAAAUGAAUGAAUUACUCUGAAAGAUCAUUUUGAUGGGAUGUGACUAUUCUGAUGGGAACUGGGAUCUUGGCCUCACUACCGUGUAGGUACAAUGCGAUGUUUUGCUUCCCUGGAAAGACGAUGACCUCUUUAAGGCAGAGACUGCCUUUUUCUUCUUUGCAUCCCCUUUGGGGUCUCUCAUUGAGGCACUUCAUGGGUGUGUGUUAAUUGAUUGAAAAGGAGGAUGAAAAUUAAAAUAACAGAAUUAGGAAGAUGCAAAAGAGUAUAAGUCCCAAGGUUGCCUGUAUUUUUCUUCAGAGUGGGCCUUAGAGCUCACCAGAAAAAGAGAGAUACCGUAGAUGAUAUAGGCAGAUACUGCCUGCUCACUUCUGUGUUUCAGUACUACUUUGGGAUGGAAGAAUAGCCUUGAAGUUGAUAAGAUUCCCAGGGGAUAUCUGAGAUAAGAAAACAAAUAUUUAACUGUAAGCAAUGGGGCUUUGUGCUUCAAUCAUGACUUGUAUCAUACACAUCAAGAACUAAGCUGUCUUGAAAUCUUGAUUGACCUUUUAGGUUUCAUUUUGUUUCCCUACCAAAAGAUUAACUUGGAUUUCUUAAACAAAACUAUUUGCUUGGUAGAAAUGUAGAUUUUGUAUUCCUUGUUUGCUGACUUGUGAAACCAUCAGAAGGAUCAAAUGAGAUGUAUAUGAAACACUUAGUAUGCUGGAAGGUGCUAUGUGGAUGAAAAUUAUAUCUUAUGAAUAUUACCAUUAGCCUCUGUUUUAGGCCCUCUUUAUAGGAAAAGAUACUGAAAGCAGAAAAGUCCAAUAGUUUUUCAGGGCUUUGGGUUAAAGAUGGAAGAUUGAACUUUUACUUUUGCCUCCUCCUGAAAGCUUAAAAUAACAAUAGAAGGAUAAGGGGAAAUGUAAUUAAGCCACAAAAACAAAGAACCCGAGAGAAGGCAACAGCAACAAACUUUUGAGAGUCAAAAAGCAGGAAUAAAAAAGAGUGGCAACUGACUCAACAGAGCAAGGAAAAACAAAUCUGUGGCCAGCCAGCAUUGGGGAGACCCAAGAUAUGCUCUGAUCUACACAGAAGAAGUACCAAAGGCCUCAGGAAUUGCAGCUUAAAGUGGGCUGCGACGAGGAGGAUUGGUUAAAUAUUUUUUUUAAUGUAGCAAACUGCCUUUUCCUCAAAUCAUCCUUUGUCCACUUAGCUGAAGCAAGUUGAGACCUCUUAUCCGUUCUGGCUGAAGAAGUUAAUUCUCUGGCAAAGUUGUCACGGAAGGUGUCCCCACUUGUGGAGACUCUGACACAACUGAGGUUGGGCAUGCCCUGUUGAAAAUAAGUGAUGGAUAUUGAAACAUCUCAACCCUUCUUUCCACUUAUCUCUCAGAAUUCUGACAGCCUUUUACCCUCCACAUAGAUCAAAGAUCGAGAAGCAGAAAGAAAUACCAUUUGACCCAGCAAUCCAAUUACUGGGUAUAUACCCAAAGGAAUAUAAUUCAUCCUAUUGUAAAGACACAUGCACGUGUGUGUUCAUUGCAGCACUAUUCACAACAGCAAAGACCCAGAACCAACCCAAAUGCCCAUCAAUAAUAGACUGUAUAAAGAAAAUGUGUACCUAUACCCCAUGGAAUACUAUGCAGCCAUAAAAAGAAACAUCAUGCCCUUUGCAGGGACAUGGAUGGAGCUGUAAGCUGAUCCUCAGCAAACUAACGCAGGAACAGAAAACCAAACACUGCAUAUUCUCACUUACAAGUGGGAGCUGAACAAUGAGAAAAAGUAAACACAUGGUGGGGCACAACACACACUGGGGCCUGCCACAGGGGUCGGGGAGGGAGAGUCUCAGAGAGAAUAGCUAAUGGGUGCUGGGCUUAAUACCCAGAUGAUGGGUCGAUCUGUGCAGCAAAUCACCAUGGCACAUGUUUACUUAUGUAACAAACCAGCACAUCCUGCACAUGUACACCAGAACUUAAAAUAAAAUUUGAUGAAAAAAAUAAAAUAAUGUCCAUGUUUAAAUAUGAGUAGAAAACCAGAGACCACUCCCCAAAGAAAACUGGGGAAAAUUUCUAAUAAAAAAUAAAUAUGGCCAGGUGCAGUGUCUUGGCUCACGUUUGUAAUCCCAGCACUUUGGGAGGCUGAGGCAGAAGGAUCACUUGAACCCACAAGUUCAAGACCAGACUAGCCUACAUAUUAAGACCCCCCAUCUCUAAAAAAAUUUUUUUUUAAUUGGCCAGGGAUGGUGACAUAUGCCUGUGGUCUUAGCUACUCAGGAGGCUGAGGUGGGAGGAGCCUCCUUGAGCCAAGGAGAUCUAGGUUGCAGUGAAUCAUGAUUGUGCCACAGCACUCCAGCCUUGGUGAAAGAGAGAGAGACCCUGUCUCAAACAAAAAAGUAUGGAAUUUUGUAUACAAGAGAUUCAACAUAAUAGAGGCAAAAAAAGUUAUCAGAAUUGUAGGGUGCAGAAAAGUUAGUGAAAACUGGACUGGAUCAGAGGAUCCAUCAGAGAUGUCAUCAGGUAGAUGAAAUUGACAAUACUUAAUAUAUUUAGACAUACUGAGAGGAGAUAUAGAUAUUUGUGGGUUGAAUUUGUAAUGAAUUGGUGGUAGGAAUUAGAUGCUUAGAAACCUAAGGCAGCAAAAAACAAGUCUAUUAUUAACUCUAAAACGUUAGAAAGGAAAGGAAAUGUUAUCACCUUAUACAAUAGUAUCUCAGCUGUGAACAGCAUUGGUUGUUAUAAUAAUGUUAAUAAUAAAUAUUUCCCUGACCAAAAGUAUCAUAUAAGUAUCCACUGAGAGGACAGAAGCGUGGUGUUUCUGCAGUAUGGGAGUGGAGAAGUGGUUGUGGUGAGGGGUCAUAGAGAAAGAGCUGAUUUCUCAUCUCCCAAGGUGGGAGUCAAUGGCAAAGUCCUAAAUUAACAGUAUAAACAUGAUAGAGAUGUGAAGGUCAAUACCAAACUAAAUGGCCAACAAAGUUGAAAGUUACCAUCUCUCAGAAGGGGAAAUGCAUACGUGUAUGUGCUUGGGUGGUGGAUACUGCACUCAUUAUUAAAGAUUUUGUGUACAUGUCACUUUAUUACAACUAUAAACUAAAUUUCCUAAAAAGUCACCUAAAUUGCCAAACUAUAUUUUUGCACAAGGGGCAAAAUUAUAGGUUCUCACCUUGAAUUUUUUCUUUGUUCGUUGGAUUUUACAACUUGUCCCACUUCUAAGCACUUGAGGUACUGAAUCUACAAACAAACAGUGGCCAGAAUAUAUAUAAAAAUAGAACUUUGAUGCACAAUCUCCUGCAACCAGCUGGGGAAGCCAAACAGUUAUCUAUAUUAACCAGUUCGUGAAAGCAGCCUGCUGUAACUCUGACCUAUAAGAAGUGAGACUACACUCUCUAGCAACCAGUGCAGGAAAUUAAAAAAAUAACCUCUGUAGCAUUCAGCCCCAAAAGCCCAGAACUUGAUUAAUAAUUGACAGCUUUCCUAAUUUUUGUCCCUGCUUCCAACUUAGGACCAAUCAGAGAAAGCCAAAUAUAUGCCCCAAACCAAUCACAUUGGAUGCCCUGCUCCCAGUUAGCAGCCUCCAAUUUCCCUGGCCAGUGGCCUCCAAUCAGGGCACACUUGGAACCUGCCUCUUCUCCACUAUAAAACCCUCCCACUCUUCUCCAUGCCUUUGAGUCUUGGCAAAAUACAAGUAAUGGUGGCCGACUACCUUGCUAUAACAAGCUCUGUAUAAAUAUCCUUUGCUUGUUCUCAUUUGCUUGGUCUUCAUUUAUUUCUACAUACUAUUUUUAGGUAUUAAACAUUUUUAAAGAUUGAGAACCAUUUGAUUUGUCAAAAAUUAAUGCCCACUAAAGCAAUGAUCCAAGUUCAAAAAGAUUUAAUCGUUUCCUGAAAAAAAUCCUUAUAUUUAUCCACUCACGUGUUGCAUUCUAUUUCCAUGUGCAAAGUGCUACACUGGGUAUUAUGGAAAAUACAAAAAUAAAUUAGACUAUUUGAGUAUUUCACAUAAUUGGAUUUAAUAAUUUCAGAGUUUCUUAAAUUCAGAUAAUCAAAGUUAUCUUAAGAUUAGGUAACUUGAAGCUGUAUUCAUACUUUUAAGAAAGUGGAACAUAACUUUAAAAAUCAAGUUGCCAAAAUGAGAGAUCAAGUUGUACUUCCAUAUUUUUUAUUUUACAUUUUCUCUCACAUAGUCCAAUUGAAGUUUUCUUAUUUAACUAUCUUGGCAUAUGUCGAAAAUUUGCUUUUUCUCCCUUGAAAUCUUAACUACUACAAAUACAAAUAUUAAGUGUAUUUCAUUUACCCACUGAAUUGAACUGAAUUUAAAACUGAAUUGCAGAUGUCCCAUGAAGGGGCACAUAUAUGAUUAUGGAAAAUGAUUCUAUUGAAAAUAACAGUAGCUUUUAUAGUGAUAUAAAUCUGAGAAAGCAAAAUAAAUUGAGGUUGGAAAAACAGAUGUAUUCAAUAAAAAACUACUGUGUGCACGUGGUGAACUAGUCUUUAGCAAGAUUCGAAUAAUGCAAUCAGUAGGAAUUUUGCUGGCCUGUGGAGUUUUCAAAGGCAUGGAUGUUCGAAUAAUAGCUAGAAAUUUGUUGUGGACACGGGGCUAUUAAGCCUGUCUCCCGCUGCAUUCAAUAUAGUGGUAAAAACUAUUAUUAAAUAACUGAUUUUAUAGCAACUGUUACAAUUAUUUGACCAAACUAUAAAUUAAAGUUUAUGAUGGAUGCAAAUGUACAUCUUAAAAUGUAUAAUACUAAUUUAGGUUCCUUUCUCAUUUUAAAAUAACCAUUCAGAUGACAGAACAGUGAUUACCAAAAUAAGAGCAAAUUAAUAAGGCUGACAGGAAGACUUCUCGAAAGUGUGAAACAUUAAAUGUGCCUUUACUUUUCAAACACAGAAUCCUACAAUUAUCAGGGGCCUCGUCCCUCACUGAGUGCACACCACUCCCAUUAGCGGUAAUGGCACUGAUGCACAUGAAACCCCGAGAAACAAUCAAGGGUCACAAAUGACGGAUCUGGUUCCCAAGCCUCCUGUGUCACAUGUUGAGGUCCACCACACCUGGUGAAGAGGAACUGUAACUGAUUAACCCACUGAUGGUCAGUCUUUCUAGCCGUUGCUGCCACCUGCAUCAUUUCCUCCCUUGAAGCCCUGAAAUCAAACUUGUCAAUUUAUAAAGGACAAAAUUCUUUGUUAAGUGAAAUGCCUCAUACUUAGGCACAAGUAAAGCUUUUCUGAUGCAGGGAUAGGAACUGAUUCCAUUUUCUCUCCCUAGUUUGUUCCCUGCAUCAGAAUAUUUUCAAACUUGGAAAGCCUUUUAUCACUGAAGCUUUUUAGAAAUGAUGGAUUCCCAGGCCCUGGCCUGUGUUUACAGUCUCUGAGGCUGGGAGUUGGCAGUGCGUUUCCUAAAGACCUUCAUGAGAUUGGGGGUUGGGGUGUGAGCAGGGUUUGAGAAGCAGUAACACUACCCUGUAAUAUCCAACUCAGUAUUCGGCAAAAAGUAAGCACAUAAUACUAUUUGAGGAUAGAACAAUUUAAAGGAGGAUUUAAAAAUAUUUUUAAUUAUAUUAUAUAUAAUAUAGACAUAAAUAUGUAUAUUAUAUAAUAUAGACAUACAUAUUCCUGAAAAAUCUCAGGAACAACUUGACUCUACCUUUGACUCAAAGUAAAUAUUCAUAUUAAUAAAAUGCACACAUGGGUAUUCCAGAGCAUUGAGUUUAAAUUAAAAAUAUUAAAAGUCCCUAAGAUUGUGAAUAGACCCAAUGUGAGAUACAUAUAAAACACACACACACAACGCAUGUGCAUGCACACAUACAGGUUUUUGGAAAAUAAAAAUUUUAAAGAGCAUAGAAGAGUUGGAAGCCACUCUAGAAUUCAUAUAAUCUAGGCUUUAAAAACAAUCUAUUUGACCAUCAUAAUCAUCAGGGAAGAUGUGUAGAAGGAUCAGUUAUGAAAAUCUCCUCCUUAAGUACUGAAUCUAAAUUUCAGAGAGGGACCCUGGGACUCUGUAUGGUUUAAAAUUUUGAAAACACAUCCCAUGAUUCAUGUGGGAAUUCUAACUUUUCUUCCAAGUGUCUCUGUUCUUUCAGUGCUUGCCUGGAUGAUGUGGCUUCCUGCCAUUGAUCAUCUGGUCACUGUCCUUUGAGCAAAUCUAUCUGCCUGGUUCUCACUGAAAGCACAGUGGCAGAUGUGUAGCUGAGAGAGGGCGUCUUUCUCCACAUUCUGGAUUCUGGUCUACCAGAGCAUCAAGAUCCAGUAAAAGCUGUGUCAGAGUUUAUGGAGUGAAGUCUACAGCACUUUCCACACCUCUCCUUGGAUUCUAACUCGGUGGCCUCUGAAGGCUGUGCUCCAGGAUGGCUCUCCUUCUUGUGUGGGCUUUGGCCUUGGGCCUUGCUGACAGGAAUCACCUGGAGUUUUAGGAAGAAGUCUGCUGCACAGACGGAGCCCUCAUGGAGAACCUAUGCCAGGGCAGUACAGAAGGGAAACAUGGGGUUGGAGCUCCCGCACAGAGUCUCCACUGGGGCACUGCCUAAUGGAGCUGUGAGAAGAGGGCCACCAUCCUCCAGACCCCAGAAUUGUAGAUCUCGAAACAGCUUGCACCAUGUGCCUGAAAAAGCUUCAAGCACUCAAUGCCAGCCCAUGAAGGAGUUGCCCAAGGCUGUGGGAGCCACCCCUUGCUUCAGCAUGCCCCAGAUGUGAGACAUGGAGUCAAGGGGAUCAUUUUGGAGCUUUAAGAUUUAAUGACUGCUGGGUUUCAGAUUUGCAUGGGACCUGCAAUCCCUUUGUUUUGGCCAGUUUCUCCCAUUUAGAAUGGGAGCAUUUAUCCAAUGCCUGUACUUUCAUUGCAUUAUGGAAGUAACUAACUUGCUUUUGAUUUUACAGGCUCAUUGGCAAAAGGGACUUGCCUUGUGUCAAAUGAGAUUUUUGACUGUAAAUUUGGGCUGAUGCUAAAAUGAAGUAAGACUUUCAGGGACAGUUGGAAAAGCAUGAUUCAUUUUGAAAUGUGAAAAGACAUGAGAUAUUGGAGGGGCCAGGGACGGAAUGAUACGGUUUGGCUCUGUGUCCCUACCCAAAUCCCAUCUCACGUGUGAUUUCCACAUGUCAAGGGAGGGAGGUGAUUGGAACAUGGGGGCGGUUUCCCUCAUGCUUUUCUCAUGAUAGUGAGUUCUCAUGAGAUCUGAUUUUUUUUUUUAGAUGGAGUUUUCCUUUUGUUGCCCAGGCUGGAGUGCAAUGGCAUGAUCCAACCUCCACCUCCUGGGUUCAAGCAAUUCUCCUGCCUAAGCCUCCUAAGUAGCUAGGAUUAUAGUCACCUGCCACCAUGUCCAGCCAAUUUUUUGUAUUUUUAGUCGAGAUAGGUUUCACUAUGAUGGCCAAGCUGGUCUCAAACUCCUGACCUCAGGAGAUCCACCCUCCUCAGUCUCCCAAAGUGCUGGUAUUACAGGCAUGAGCCAUUGUGCCCGGCUAAUUUGAUGGUUUUAUAAGUGUUCAGAAGUUCUUCCUUUGUUCUUCUCUCUAGAAGGUGCCUGCUUCUCUAUACACCAUGAUUAUAAGUUUCCUGAUGCCUCUCCAGCCAUCCACAACUGAGUCAAUUAAAUCUCUUCCUUUAUAAAUUACCCAGUCUCAGGGAAGUUCUUUAUCGCAGUGUGAAAAAAGACUAAUACACUGACCCAGCAGAGACUGACUCUCCCAGGGCUAGCCAAUUCCUAGAGAUAGUAAAUGGCUCACCUGCAAGCUUAUUUUUCAUAUGCCAACUGUUCCCCAUCAUUCUGAAGCAGCUGGAUUGCUAAAAUGGUGGAUGAGUCACAGUUACACCACCAACUAGGUGACAAUACUUUACAGAGUUGGAGCAAAGUUCUCCAGAAGGCUGUGUAUGCUCUGUAUCGGUGUCCCAUGUAUGGUACUUUCUCCCAUAGCCAAGAUUCAUGGAUCCAGGAAUCAAGGGGUCGAAGGGGAAGUGGUACCACUCACUAUCAACCCUAGUGACUCACUAGCAAAAUUUUUUCUUCCAUUCCCGUGACAUUACAUUCUGCUGGCCUAGAAGUCUUAAUUCCUAGAGGGAGGAAUGCUGCCACCAGGAGACACAACAAUUUCAUUAAACUGGAAGUUAAGAUUGCCAUCCGGACACUUUGAGCUCCUCCUAUCUCUAUGUCAGCAGGCUAAAAAGGGAGUUACAGUGUUGGGUGGAGUGAUUAACCAGGACUAUCAAGAUGAAAUCAGUCUACUAUUCCGCAGUGGAAGUAAGGAAAAGUAUGUGUGGAAUACAGGACAUCCCUAAGAGCAUUUCUUAGUAUUACCAUGCCCUGUGAUUAAGGUCAAUAAGAAGCUACAACAGCUCAAUCCAGGAGGACUACAAAUGGCCCAGACUUUUCAGGAAUGAAGGUCUGGGUCACUUCACCAGGUAAAAAACCAUGACCUGCUGAGGUGCUUGCGGGGGGCAAAGGGAAGACAGAAUGGGUAGUAGAAUAGGGUAGUCAUCAAUACCAGCUAUGACCAUAUGACCAGUUGCAGAAACAAGGACUGUAAUUGUCAUGACUAUUUCCUCCUUAUUUUGUUAAGAAGAUGUUUAUGUAUGUAUACACUUGUACUAAGAAAACAUCUUAAUUUUCUUUUCCCUUUAUCAUGUGACAUAGAUUUAUUGACUUCAUAACAUCAUUUAAGUAUUGUUAACUUUAUGUAGUAGCAUUUGGGUUGAGGAUUGGUGUGUUUCCAGUUGUACAAAGCAUAGCUAUCUUAUGUUAGGCAUAAUUAUGAUCCCAUUAUUAUCUUUAGUUGAAUAUUAUGUGUUAUUUCAGGAGAUAUGUAUGAGAUAUGUAUGGGUUCAAGUUUGGCAAGGGGUGGACUUGUGAUGGUUAAUACUAAGUGUCAACUUAA